rnacentral:rRNA from 1 species
UACGUAGGUGGCAAGCGUUGUCCGGAAUUAUUGGGCGUAAAGCGCGCGCAGGCGGUCCUUUAAGUCUGAUGUGAAAGCCCACGGCUCAACCGUGGAGGGUCAUUGGAAACUGGGGGACUUGAGUACAGAAGAGGAAAGCGGAAUUCCACGGUGUAGCGGUGAAAUGCGCAGAUAUCAGGAGGAACACCGGUGGCGAAGGCGGCUCACUGGCCCGGUACUGACGCUGAGGUGCGAAAGCGUGGGGAGCAAACAGG